CGUGAAAUUGUUGAAAGGGAAGCGCUCAUGACCAGACUUGGGCUUGGUUGAUCAUCCAGGGUUCUCCCUGGUGCACUCUUCCAGCCCAGGCCAGCAUCAGUUCGCUGUGGGGGAUAAA
rnacentral:rRNA from 1 species